rnacentral:rRNA from 1 species
UGAUGCACUCCGGGGAGGGAACGGGAUGUUCAUAACCCUUUGUUGUCCGACUCUGUUGCCUCCGGGGCGACCCUGCCUUCGGGCGGGGGCUCCGGGUGGACACUUCAAACUCUUGCGUAACUUUGCAGUCUGAGUAAACUUAAUUAAUAAAUUAAAACUUUUAACAACGGAUCUCUUGGUUCUGGCAUCGAUGAAGAACGCAGCGAAAUGCGAUAAGUAAUGUGAAUUGCAGAAUUCAGUGAAUCAUCGAAUCUUUGAACGCACAUUGCGCCCCCUGGUAUUCCGGGGGGCAUGCCUGUUCGAGCGUCAUUUCACCACUCAAGCCUCGCUUGGUAUUGGGCAACGCGGUCCGCCGCGUGCCUCAAAUCGUCCGGCUGGGUCUUCUGUCCCCUAAGCGUUGUGGAAACUAUUCGCUAAAGGGUGUUCGGGAGGCUACGCCGUAAAACAACCCCAUUUCUAAGGUUGACCUCGGAUCAGGUAGGGAUACCCGCUGAACUUAAGCAUAUCAAUA